UCCUGUUGCUUGGCAUCAGGUAGUGGAGGGGUUGUCAGGCAGGAACAGGGAAACUGAGGAAUGUGGAAUGAUAAUAACCAGAACAAGAUGCGGAGCUGGUAAGAGGCUGAGGAGGAGCGAACCCAAAGUCAUCUUGGUACACUUGGCCUCCUCAGAAAGGUGGUUCUUCCUGGGCCUCUUGAGAUUUGAGGGCCAGGUCAGCCCAUGGCUGGCCAAUUUGGAUACUUGUUUGUAGUGUAAAGAAGUGCAGAUGAAGACUGAAUAGGUGAAGAGUGGAUUCUCAGGGGACCACAGAAGACUGCGCAGGAGCAGGCAGUGCUAGCAGACACAGUUUGAAUCAAAUCCCUAACAAAGAGAGAAGGCGCAGACCCUGCUUGUUUGCUGAAGCUGCUGGAAACCUUUUGAUUUUCUGGGGAGCCACAGAGGUUGAAGGAGAUUCUGUAGACCUCAGACUUAAUGUCUUCAGUGAUUUUGAAGGGAGCUCGGUUUGGUUUUGCAGGUGGGGAAAUAACAGUGUCAUCUCGGAACGGCAGACACAAUGAUAUACGUGUUUGGGGGCAUCUAUAGAGCACAGUGAAUCAUGCAACAUAUGAGUCAGCCGCACUAUAAGUCAAUCCUCAGUUCCCACCAAAAGCUCCUUAGUGUAACCCAGGAUUAACAUCACCAGUGACACAUCUUGACAUCAGGUACUUGCUUGAUACAAUGCACUGAGAAGGAAAUACUACUACUCUGGUCUCCUGCCAGCACCACCACCACCAACAAUAACACAACAACAACAACAACAACCCAAAACCCCAGCGCAAUCAGGAGAAAAUGUGAGACAAACCCAGACUGGACCAAAGGCAUGGUGCUUUCACUAAGAAUUAAAGAAAAAACAGCUUCUGGAGGUGGAUACCUUUGAUCCUUCUUUCUUUCUGGAACUUCAUAAUGAAUAGUUAUCUUGUAUCUUCAAAGCAACAAGCAUAAGGAUGAAAGCCAAAUGCUAAAUACUGUGGGACAGGAAGAUAAAAAGAGCUGAGGCCACCACAACUAACAACAAACUCUUGCAAAAAACCUCAGCAACUGCACACAUCUGAACUUGUUUAAAACAGCCUUGAAGAGGUAAUGUAACAGACUCACGAUUUCUCAGCAAGUAAAUGGUGGGUCCUGGACUUAAACUUGAACUGAUUGACUACAAAUUCUGAACAGCCUACUCUGGAGCCUCACUCUACAACGAACGUUUUUAGCAACU